UGGCCCUACGGGGGGCAGCAGUGGGGAAUAUUGGGCAAUGGGCGCAAGCCUGACCCAGCAACGCCGCGUGAAGGAAGAAGGCUUUCGGGUUGUAAACUUCUUUUAAGAGGGAAGAGAAGAAGACGGUACCUCUUGAAUAAGCCACGGCUAACUACGUGCCAGCAGCCGCGGUAAUACGUAGGUGGCAAGCGUUAUCCGGAUUUACUGGGUGUAAAGGGCGUGUAGGCGGGAGAGCAAGUCAGAUGUGAAAACUACAGGCUUAACCUGUAGCCUGCAUUUGAAACUGUUCUUCUUGAGUGAUGGAG
rnacentral:rRNA from 1 species